CCAAACCUUCUUCUCUUUCUUCUCCGUCCUUUUCUUCCUCUCUUUUUCCUUCUUUUUCCUUCUCUUUUCCUUUUCUUCUUCUUCUCCUUCUAUUCGGCUAGAGAGAGAGAGAGAGUAGAGAGAGAGUGAGCUGAGGGGAGUGAGAGGCUGAGAGAGAGGUGUAUAAAACCUCUAUUGUAACAAUAUCCAAAAGAGCCCCUCAACUUUUCUAUUUUCCAAAACAGCCCUGCUGUUCGUGUGCCCUUGUACCGGU
rnacentral:lncRNA from 1 species